UCGCACGUCGCUUGCGUCCCUCCCGCCAUCUUUCCAGCCGGCGUCCAGGAGAGGAACACGUUGCUGGGGGGAGAAAAAAAGAAGUUUCACCCUGAAAUAUUUGUGUGUAAACGUCGUUUCUUGGUUGUUUUCAUUCGAGGCGAGUUUAAGGAGCCGACUAGGGCUCCACAGGUGCUAGCGUCCGUCAUUCCAGCUCUCCACCAUGGCGGAUAAAAACACCAGGAUCGCCAUCGUCAACCACGACAAAUGCAAACCUAAGAAUGUCGUCAGGAGUGCAAGAAGAGCUGCCCGGUGGUGCGCAUGGGUAAGCUGUGUAUCGAGGUGACUCCUCAGAGUAAGAUCGUGUGGAUCUCAGAGUCUCUGUGUAUAGGCUGCGGCAUCUGCAUCAAGAAAUGUCCGUUCGGCGCGUUGUCGAUCGUCAACCUGCCCAGCAACCUGGAGAAGGAGACCACACACAGAUACUGCGCCAACUCCUUCAAACUGCACCGGUACGAUGCUGAGACUC